AGAGUUUGAUUAUGGCUCAGGACGAACGCUGGCGGCGUGCCUAAUACAUGCAAGUCGAGCGAACAGAGAAGGAGCUUGCUCCUUCGACGUUAGCGGCGGACGGGUGAGUAACACGUGGGCAACCUACCCUAUAGUUUGGGAUAACUCCGGGAAACCGGGGCUAAUACCGAAUAAUGUGUUUCACCUCAUGGUGAAACACUGAAAGACGGUUUCGGCUGUCGCUAUAGGAUGGGCCCGCGGCGCAUUAGCUAGUUGGUGAGGUAACGGCUCACCAAGGCGACGAUGCGUAGCCGACCUGAGAGGGUGAUCGGCCACACUGGGACUGAGACACGGCCCAGACUCCUACGGGAGGCAGCAGUAGGGAAUCUUCCACAAUGGGCGAAAGCCUGAUGGAGCAACGCCGCGUGAGUGAAGAAGGAUUUCGGUUCGUAAAACUCUGUUGUAAGGGAAGAACAAGUACAGUAGUAACUGGCUGUACCUUGACGGUACCUUAUUAGAAAGCCACGGCUAACUACGUGCCAGCCGCCGCGGUAA
rnacentral:rRNA from 1 species